UACGUAGGGGGCGAGCGUUGUCCGGAGUUACUGGGCGUAAAGCGCACGCAGGCGGUCUGCUAAGUUUGGAGUGACAGUUGGUGGCUUAACUGCCAAAGUGCUUCGAAAACUGACAGACUUGAGGGCAUCAGAGGGACACGGAAUUCCGGGUGGAGUGGUGAAAUGCGUAGAGAUCCGGAGGAACACCAGAGGCGAAGGCAGUGUCCUGGGGAGUAACUGACGCUCAGGUGCGAAAGCCAGGGGAGCGAACGGG
rnacentral:rRNA from 1 species